GUAAGUAUAUACACGUAUAUUGAUUUUGAUCCAAAAGUUUCAUCUGACACAUGUAUUUCAUCAGAAUGAUGGAGCAAAAUUGUUAUUAAAAUCAAGAUUAUUCUAGAAAAUUCCAGACUGUGAUCUCCAUACAAAUCAUGGAGGGCAUAUAUAGGCUGAGAGAGAAGAAUUUACUUUGGGAUGUGAGUGGGCAGUUGCUGGAUUUAAAUUGAACGACUGCGUCUUUGCUUCAGAAAUGGCUCUUCUGGCAAGAGGGAGACCUGGAGGGAAAACCCUGCUUGUCACAAUGCCCCAGUGACUCUGGCUGUGACUCAGCCCAGACCUGACCAGUAGCACCAUUGUCACUCAUUCUUAAACAGGCAGCUUGUCAACUUAUGUUAGUUUCAAUAUUUUUGGAGCUACAUCUAAAAAGCUACAUCUUAAAUUAAACAGGGUGAAGGGCUUAUCUUUACCGACCUGCCCAUGAGAAACCCCCAGAAUGAACUUGGGGGGUAGGUGGACAGGUGCACUUGAAAUCCACUUUGACAACUACAAGGAAUCAGCCGGCCUUUUAUGAGCUCAAUGUUCUUGUGGAGCAUGAGAAAAAUGCUGUUAUAGAAACAGGCUCUGAUUUUGGCAUCAAACAUUUUCAUGAUGGAAAAAUAUACAAGGACCCGCAUUGCUGAGUGGAGUAAUCUGGACCACACGUCUGAGGGGAAGGUAGAAACCACUGAUGCUCACAGGUGUUCCUAUCCGAAAACAAACGGCUCUGCAUGAAGGUCUAAUUCACCCAAA